rnacentral:rRNA from 1 species
UACGUAGGCAGCAAGCGUUGUUCGGAGUUACUGGGCGUAAAGGGUGCGUAGGCGGCUAUUUAAGUUUGGUGUGAAAUCUCCCGGCUCAACCGGGAGGGUGCGCCGAAUACUGAGUGGCUAGAGUGCGGGAGAGGAAAGUGGAAUUCCGGGUGUAGCGGUGGAAUGCGUAGAGAUCCGGAAGAACACCGGUGGCGAAGGCGGCCUGCUGGGCAGUUGCUGACACUGAGGCGCGACAGCGUGGGGAGCAAACAGG